rnacentral:rRNA from 1 species
GACGAACGCUGGCGGCGUGCUUAACACAUGCAAGUCGAACGCUGAAGCUCAGCUUGCUGGGUGGAUGAGUGGCGAACGGGUGAGUAACACGUGAGUAACCUGCCCUCUUCUUUGGGAUAACGCCCGGAAACGGGUGCUAAUACUGGAUAUUCACUGAUUCUCGCAUGGGGGUUGGUGGAAAGGUUUUUUCUGGUGGGGGAUGGGCUCGCGGCCUAUCAGCUUGUUGGUGGGGUGAUGGCCUACCAAGGCUUUGACGGGUAGCCGGCCUGAGAGGGUGACCGGUCACAUUGGGACUGAGAUACGGCCCAGACUCCUACGGGAGGCAGCAGUGGGGAAUAUUGGACAAUGGGCGAAAGCAUGAUGCAGCGACGCCGCGUGAGGGAUGGAGGCCUUCGGGUUGUAAACCUCUUUCGCUCAUGGUCAAGCCGCAGCUUUGGGUUGUGGUGAGGGUAGUGGGUAAAGAAGCGCCGGCUAACUACGUG